rnacentral:rRNA from 1 species
ACUCCUACGGGAGGCAGCAGUAGGGAAUAUUGGACAAUGGGCGAAAGCCUGAUCCAGCCAUGCCGCGUGAGUGAUGAAGGCCCUAGGGUUGUAAAGCUCUUUUGUGCGGGAAGAUAAUGACGGUACCGCAAGAAUAAGCCCCGGCUAACUUCGUGCCAGCAGCCGCGGUAAU